ensembl:snoRNA
AUACUUUCGUAGUCCGUAGGUGUGAUGAGUGGACUUUCACGCUCAUGUGUGAAAUGUGCGUCUCUCCAGCCUUGUUAGGAUGUUGGACAUGACUGUCUGACA